rnacentral:rRNA from 1 species
GACGAACGCUGGCGGCGUGCCUAAUACAUGCAAGUCGAGCGGACAGAUGGGGGCUUGCUCCCUGAAGUCAGCGGCGGACGGAUGAGUAACACGUCGGCAACCUGCCUGUAAGACUGGGAUAACUUAGGGAAACCGGAGCUAAUACCGGAUACGUUCUUUUCUCGCAUGAGAGAAGAUGGAAAGAUGGUUUCGGCUCUCCCUUACAGAUGGGCCCGCGGCGCAUUAGCUAGUUGGUGAGGUAAUGGCUCACCAAGGCAACGAUGCAUAGCCGACCUGAGAGGGUGAUCGGCCACACUGGGACUGAGACACGGCCCAGACUCCUACGGGAGGCAGCAGUAGGGAAUCUUCCGCAAUGGACGAAAGUCUGACGGAGCAACGCCGCGUGAACGAUGAAGGCCUUCGGGUCGUAAAGUUCUGUUGUUAGGGAAGAACAAGUACCAGAGUAACUGCUGGUACCGUGACGGUACCUAACCAGAAAGCCACGGCUAACUACGUGCCAGCCGCCGCAGUAAUAC